ACCUCUGGAGAGUCUAAAGACACCGACGGGGCAAGCCCUAACAUAAGUAUAGGGUGAAUCUCUCAGGUAAAUGACAGAGGAG
rnacentral:ncRNA from 1 species